GAUGAACGCUGGCGGCGUGCCUAAUACAUGCAAGUCGAGCGAACAGACGCGGCGCUUUCCUCUCGGACGUUAGAGGCGGAAGGGUGAGUAACGCGUGGACAACCUACCUGUAAGUAUGGGAUAAAUUCGGGAAACCGGAGCUAAUACGGGAUAAUAUAUUGAACCGGAUGGUUCAAUGGUGAAAGCCGGUUUUGCUGUCACUUAUAGAUGGAUCAGCGCCGCAUUAGCUAGUUGGUAAGGUAAAGGCUUACCAAGGCGACGAUGCGUAGCCGCCCUGAGAGGGUGAUCGGCCACACUGGGACUGAGACACGGCCCAGACUCCUACGGGAGGCAGCAGUGGGGAAUUUUCGGCAAUGGGCGAAAGCCUGACGGAGCAACGCCGCGUGAGUGAAGAAGGUCUUCGGAUCGUAAAACUCUGUUGUUAGGGAAGAACAAGUGUGUAAGUAACUAUGCGCGUCUUGACGGUACCUAAUCAGAAAGCCACGGCUAACUACGUG
rnacentral:rRNA from 1 species